AUUGAACGCUGGCGGCAUGCUUUACACAUGCAAGUCGAACGGUAACAGGGUGCUUGCACCGCUGACGAGUGGCGAACGGGUGAGUAAUGCGUCGGAACGUGCCGAGUAGUGGGGGAUAACGCAGCGAAAGUUGUGCUAAUACCGCAUACGUACUGAGGUAGAAAGUGGGGGACCUUCGGGCCUCACGCUAUUCGAGCGGCCGACGCCUGAUUAGCUAGUAGGUGAGGUAAAGGCUCACCUAGGCGACGAUCCGUAGCGGGUCUGAGAGGAUGGUCCGCCACACUUGGUCUGAAACACGGCCCACACUCCUACGGGAGGCAGCAGUGGGGAAUGUUGGGCAAUGGGCGAAAGCCUGAUCCAGCCAUGCCGCGUGUCUGAAGAAGGCCGUCGGGUUGUAAAGGACUUUUGUCGGGGAGGAAAUCCCCAGCGUUAAUACCGCUGGGGGAUGACAGUACCUGAAGAAUAAGCACCGGCUAACUACGUGCCAGCAGCCGCAGUAAAAC
rnacentral:rRNA from 1 species